CUGAACUCUUUUUCCUCCUCAGGUCAACAAAGGCCUCUCCUGUCUUUGACACUCAAGCCAAAAUUCUUCAGUUAUCUUGAUUCUGGCUUUUUAUCAUCCCUCACAUCUAAUCCCUCACAGCUAAUCACUGUUGAUUCUACCUGUACAACAAAUGUAUUUCUACAUCCUUUUCUAACUUCAGGCAAACUCAAUAUUAGCUAAUGGCUGCACCACUGAAACUGCUUCUAACUGUGGAUCCUUCCACCCUUGUUUCCCUUCUUCCUCUCCUACAAUGCACUCUGCAGUGUUUUCUAAGAUCCUACAAGGUCCACCUAUUCUCAUACCUUGUUUCAUUCUCCCUGUAGCUCACCAUGAGCCAGACACAUUCACCUUUCUGCUCUUCAAAUCUGUUGAUCUCUCCCCAAUGGGAGUCUUUCCUCUGCCCAUAGGAAGGCUCUCUCCUCUCUUCUUCUAGUUGAAGUGGGAACUUCAUGCCCUCUGAGAAGCCUUUCCUAACCUUCUUCAUAGAUCCUCACAGCACCCAGACUUCUCCUUUGUGACACUACAAGCGUCACUAAACAAUUUAGGAAGUGAGUGUUUCAUAGCUCCCAGUUGUGUCAUAAGCUAAACUCUAGGAGGGCUGUCACUGCCUUACUCCCUGUUUUAUCCCCAGUGGUGAGAAGAAUGCUUCUCCUGGUUUGUUGUUACUAAAAAGGUCUUGAAUGAAUUAACUCCAUCUAACUCUGUGCAUGGUUGCCCUCAAAUUCUCAUUAUACUUACUGUACUUAUGUGCUUGAGCCUUCUCUAUGUAACCUGUUUCCUGUCCACAUUGAUCACCUCCUUGGUCUCCACCCCAGUGUCUCCACUCAGACAGGAAAUAUACACUCAUUGGCUGCUAUCUCUGGAAUAUAAUACUAACUGAAAUUUUGAAAAAAGACUAAAGCUUUAAAGGACUAAACUGACAAGGUAUUAUUGGAGUCCAGAAGAGGAGAAUUCAACCAAGUCUUGAAUCCAUUGAUGAUUCACAGAAAAAUUCCUGGAG
rnacentral:lncRNA from 1 species